ACUCCCAUUCUUGGCAGGCCCCGGCCGCCCUGUGCCCGGGUCUGUGAUGUCCGGAGGUAGAGCAGCGACUCUUUCAUGGGCACCC
rnacentral:snoRNA from 1 species